GAGUUUGAUCGUGGCUCAGAUUGAACGCUGGCGGCAUGCCUUACACAUGCAAGUCGAACGGCAGCACGGGAGCUUGCUCCUGGUGGCGAGUGGCGAACGGGUGAGUAAUGCAUCGGAACGUAUCCUGGAGUGGGGGAUAACGUAGCGAAAGUUACGCUAAUACCGCAUAUUCUGUGAGCAGGAAAGCGGGGGACCUUCGGGCCUCGCGCUCUUGGAGCGGCCGAUGUCGGAUUAGCUAGUUGGUGAGGUAAAGGCUCACCAAGGCGACGAUCCGUAGCAGGUCUGAGAGGAUGAUCUGCCACACUGGGACUGAGACACGGUCCAGACUCCUACGGGAGGCAGCAGUGGGGAAUUUUGGACAAUGGGGGCAACCCUGAUCCAGCCAUGCCGCGUGAGUGAAGAAGGCCUGGUGUAAG
rnacentral:rRNA from 1 species